rnacentral:lncRNA from 1 species
UGUAGGUAAGUUUCGAGAUCCCGGACAACUUCCUAGUUCCACCAUUCCAAAUCCGAAGGGAGGUUUCGAAAGUGCAAAAGCAAUCACCCUAAGAAGUGGUAAGGAAGUUGGGGCAGGUCCUACAUAAAAAACAGGUCAUAAUGAGGAUGAACUUUUGCAAUUGGAAGAGGAGGCAUCAAGGCUGCCCACGGCAAAGGUGGUUCCACCUUUGCCGCAAGCUCCUAAUGUCCCAAAUUUGCCCACUUCGUCCCACAAAGGUAAGAAUGUGUCCAAUUCAGUUCAUACUAAUGUUUUCCCUUCAAAUGUGCCUUUUCCUAGUAGGUUCAUGCAAACGAAGAAAGAAGAGGCAGAAAAGGAUAUCCUUGAAACCUUUAGGAAAGUUCAAGUUAACAUACCUCUAUUAGAUGCAAUCAAGCAAGUUCCGAGGUAUGCUAAGUUCUUGAAGGAGUUGUGUACUACGAGGAAGAGGAUGGCGACCAAGGAAGUGGUAAAGGUAGGUGAGAUGUGUCCGCCAUCUUGCACGCAAACAACCUCCAAAUGCAAAGAUCCAGGUAGCUUUGCCAUUCCUUGUGUCAUUGGAAUACUAGAUUUGAAUCUGCCAUGCUUUGAUUAGGUGCUUCUAUAAUGUUAUGCCAUUUCCAUUUAUGCAUCUAUGAACUUAGGAGCAUUGAAAAAUGAUGGGGUAAUAAUACAAUUUGGCCGAUAGAUCUAACUCCUAUCCAAGGGAGUUUUGAAGAUGUUCUUGUGCAGGUUAAUCCAUUUAGUCUUCCCAGCGGAUUUCUAUGUCCUCUAAUGGAUGAAUCGGACCAUGCUCCUUCGCUGCCCAUGUCUACUUGGAAGGCCAUUUCCAUGAAGACGGCCCGGACGAAGAUUGACUGUAUAGUGGAACUUUGUCCAUGGAAUUCGAUGGUGGAAGUUGUUAAUUUAAUCUUUCUGAUUCCAUUAAAUACCUAGUGAGGACCAUUCAUGCUUUUCUAUUAUAUAUUGACUCUUUGCGCAGGGAUUAUCUCGACGAUUUAAAUGAAGAUGCGCUUGAAAAAAGUCAUUACACAAGGCAUGGAACUCAAAACACAGGGGCUGAUUGCAGCAUGCCCACGGCAUACAUGAGUUAUCCAUGCCGUGCCCCCUAGUGAGGAAUACUUGAAGUUGUGGCUGGCCCUUGAGAGUCCUCACCUAAGCUUGAUGGUUAAGUAUACUAACCGUGAGUCAUUCCCAUUGCGACUAACAAAUGCUUCAUCUAUAAUUCAGUGCACCUAUCCUUGAACUCAAGCCUUUGCCAAGCCAUCUGAAGUACAUUUUCUUGGGAGAAAAUGAAACACUACCUGCCAUCAUUUCUCCUCCCUCACGCACAAGAAGAGGAGAAGUUGCUUCGAGUUUUGAAGCGAGUUCAAAUAUGCCCUAGGUUGGACAUUGGCCGAUAUUAAAGGUAUAAGCCCUACAACUUGUAUGCAUCACAUAUUCUCUUUGAGGAGGGGCCAAACCAACUAGAGAGGCUCAACGCCAUCUUAACCCUCUGAUGAUGGAAGUAGUGAAAAAGGAGAUCAUUAAAAGCUUCUAGAUUGUGGGGGUUAUCUAUCCAAUCUCGGAUAGUAAGUGGGUUUCGCCCGUUCAAUGCGUGCCAAAGAAAUCCGGAGUGACGGUGGUAGCUAAUGCCGAGAAUGAGCUUGUUCCUCAACGUAUUCAAACCGGUUGGAGGGUGUGCAUUGACUAUAGGAAGCUAAACACCACCACGAGGAAGGACAACUUCCCAUUGCCAUUCAUUGACCAAAUGCUUGAGAGGUUAGCGGGUUAUGUUUUUUAUUUUUCUUGAUGGUUAUUCUGGUUAUAAUCAAAUUGUCAUUUCACCGAGGACCAAGAAAAAAACCACUUUUACAUGCCCGUUUGGUACCUUUGCAUAUCGUCGCAUGCCUUUUGGUUUAUGUAAUGCACCUGCUACAUUUCAAAGAUGCAUGAUGAGCAUAUUUUCUGAUCACGUAGAAAAGAUAAUUGAAGUGUUUAUGGAUGAUUUUAGCGUAUUUGGUGAUUCGUUUAAUAGUUGCUUGCAUAAUCUAAGUUUGAUCCUAAAACGUUGUGUUGAAACUAACCUUGUACUUAAUUGGGAAAAGUGUCAUUUUAUGGUUAAACAAGGUAUCGUUUUAGGUCAUAUAAUCUCUGAAAAGGGUAUUGAGGUUGAUAAGUCGAAAAUAGAUCUUGUACGUCACUUACCUCUCCGACUUCGGUUAGAGAGGUUCGUUCGUUUCUUGGCCAUGCAGGAUUUUAUCGUAGGUUUAUCAAAGAUUUCUCGAAGGUAGCACAACCUCUUUGCCGGCUCCUACAAAAAGAAGUGGCGUUUGAAUUCACCAAGGAGUGCACGGCAUCAUUCAACCAACUCAAGGAGUUGUUGACCACGGCACCCAUCAUUGUUCCACCGGAUUGGAGUCUACCGUUCGAGCUCAUGUGUGAUGCGUCCGACUAUGCUUUAGGAGCUGUUUUAGGACAAAGAAAGGACAAGAGGCCGCAUGUUCAUUUACUACGCCCACGGACCGUUGAACGAUGCACAAUUGAACUACUCCACUACGGAAAAAGAACUCCUUGCCGUUGUCUUUGCUUUAGAUAAAUUUCGAUCAUAUUAAUUGGAACUAAAGUAAUUGUUUUCACUGAUCAUUGCAGCUCUGAAGUACUUGCUCACCAAAAAGAGGCCAAGCCACGGCUAAUUCGAUGGAUAUUGCUACUUCAAGAGUUCGAUAUAGAGAUUCGGGACAAGAAGGGAAGUGAAAACGUGGUGGCUGACCACCUAAGCCGAAUGGUGCAUAAUGAGGAGUCUUUGCCGAUUUUGGAGACAUUCCCUGAUAGGAGCAUAUUUAUGCGCCUUAGUUAGCUAGUUCUUAUGCAUCUUUGUUAUGUUUUCUUCGUUAAAGUAUCUUUUAAGCUACUUUCAUGUGUUUUCAGGUUAAAGGACAUAUUACAUGAAAUGAUGCAAUUUGGAGCUUUUGGAGCAAAAAGUGAGCUUGGAAUGAAAAGGACAUGCUUGGAACACAAGGUUGGGAUGAAAUCGAAGAGUUCGAGAUUUGAGGUUUCCUACUUGAAGUAGGAAAGCUAAGCCUAAAAGUUUCCAUUUUGGGUUGAUCUUUCCUAAAUCGGAAUGGCAACCAAAGUUUCUAAAGUUGGAAGUUCUAUUCUUGGAGGUUUCCAUUUUCGUGAGUUUCUAUUCUCGGCUUGGGCUUUUAGAUGACUUAAACCUAAUUCCUUGUGAACCCUAAGUCCAUGCCGCAUCCUAGGGCCUAAUCAUUCAAUUUCUGCCAUGUUAAACCCUAAUCCAUUUCUCCUAAGCCAUGCCGCACCUAAUGUUCUAGAAACCCAAUUUUCUGGUGGAUUUCCAACCCUAGCCGCACCUAACCCUAGCCCAUUGUCUAAUCUGAUUUCUUUAGGGUUUAGGUGCCUAUAUAUAUGUGUUUUACAUCCUUUGGCCGAUCCUCUCUCCCUCUCCACAAAUCAGAAACCAUCCAACCCUUAUUCCCCCACCUUGCCGCAGCCACCAUCACCCUUGGAACCCCUAGCCGCCACACCUUCAUCCAUUCCAGCCACUUCCCAUCCUUGCCGCAGCCUUCAUCCACCUCUAGCCACCAUCCUACACCUCCAUACACCAUCCCCACUCCUUGCCGCACCACCAUACCAUCCUAAUUCCCUUCUAAAACCAAAAUCACACCCAAAAACACCCUAAACCCUCUCUGCCGCAGCAAGGAGAAGAAGAAAGAGGAGCUUGAAGUCAGAAAUUCAAAGUGGAAUUCUUGGGCGUUUUAGGUGUAAUCUUUCUUAUGUCUUCGAUGUUUCAAUUCAAUAAACUUUAUGUUGUGAGUAUGAGGAACUAAACCCCCUUGGUUGGGGGGUAAUUCGAAACCAUGUACAUGCUUGCAAUUUGAUUCGAUUACAUUCAGUUGUUAUUUCAUAAGUUGUGGAUUCAAUUCAUUCAUCUAUUUGAUUGAUAACUUAUUUGUGUAUGUUGAUUGAGAGUGCACGCUUAGUUUUCAUGCAUGAAUAUGAUGCUAGAUUAUGAGGGAGUUUCACCUAAUAGUUACAAUCUUAUAAUCACAAGUAGUGAAGAUCGCUUGAAAACGAUCGCGUUGAAUGAAUUCUUAGCAUAAGUUUCAUGCAAUUCAUAGUAACAAAUGCUUCGUCAAUGCUUAUGUUUUUCAGAGAACGUAAUGUUUCUUGCUUGUAUCUCUAUUAUGCAAUUCAUGUAGGGAUUGUAGGGAAUGUUUGGGUUUGCGUAUGCAAUCAUCCACCCUAUAUAACUUGUGGAAAAACUGAGGGUUAAAUUAGUGCAAUUCACACGGUUAAUUUGGGGCGUUGAGUAUUCAUAAUUUUAUUGGAAGAACAACUGAAAAUCGUUUUUGUUUGCAAGUGUGACAUGUGUGGAGAAGAACCUCCUAACUAGCCUUUUUAUCCAUCUAUUUCACCAAAAUCGUUUUUUACAAUCUGUGCUAGUUAAAGUUUCUGUUUGUGUUAAAUUUUCGUCCAAAAACAAAUCCCCUUUAAUUUGAAGUCUUAGAUUAGUUAGAAAGUGUUUUGAUUUGUGUUUCUUAAGUAUUUUUGAUUCAAGAUUUCAUCAAAUUUCGUCCAAAUUAGUGUAGGUGCUCAAAACUGCCCAGAAAGUGUUUUUAGGCAGUUUUGAGCCUUCUAGUUGCUGUUUUGAGUUUUAGGUUUGUUUAAGUGUUUUAACCUUUACUUUGCAUUCUUUGAGUCUAAGUUAGUGUGUUUAAACUUUGUUUUUGAGUUUAAGUCAGUUUCCAAGUGUUUUAGCAAUCCCUCCUAAUCCCCCGUCUAGAACGAUCCCUACUUACAUCUUUACUACAAUUUGACAAAAAGAGGGUUUAAUUUGUGUGCUUAUCUAUUUCGCAUCAUUCCCCGAUGAACAAUUGCUGUCCAUUAAGGUUAGUGCGCCUUGGUAUGCCGAUAUUGUUAAUUUUUUAGUGUCAAAACGUAUUCCAAGUGAGUUCACUAGGCACCAACGUGAAUAAACUUAGGCAUGAUGCACGGUUUAUGUGUGGGAUGAUCCAUACUUAUGGAAAUUUUGCCCCGAUCAGAUUGUACGUCGUUGUGUGCACGAUUCUGAAUGUCAUUCAAUUUUGAGUUUUUGUCACACAUAUGCAUGUGGAGGGCACUUUGGCACACAACGCACAACCCUUAAGGUGUUACAAUAUGGAUUUUAUUGGCCUAGUAUUUUCAAAGAUGCUAAAACUUUUUGCUUAACAUGUGAUAAAUGCCAACGAAUGGGUGGUAUUAGUGCUAGGGACCAAAUGCCGCAGGUUUCUAUCCUAAAUGUUGAAAUUUUUUAUGUUUGGGGUAUUGAUUUUAUGGGUCCUUUUCCUUCUUCGUAUGGUUUUACAUAUAUUUUGCUUGCGGUUGAUUAUGUGUCGAGGUGGGUGGAAGCAAAGGCCACCCGAACUAAUGAUUCUAAAGUGGUUGCAGAUUUUAUUAGAACUAACAUUUUUGCAAGGUUCGGAAUGCCACGAGUGAUCAUUAGUGACGGAGGGUCACACUUUUGCAAUCGGACCAUUGAAGCGUUAUUGAGGAAAUACAGUGUCACCCAUAAGGUUUCUACACCUUACCAUCCUCAAACGAAUGGGCAAGCCGAGGUUUCCAACCGUGAGAUCAAGCAAAUCUUAGAGAAGACCGUUGGGCCAACGAGGAAGGAUUGGAGCUUACGGUUAGAUGAUGCACUUUGGGCGUAUCGCAAGGCAUGCCAUCUUCCUGUUGAAUUGGAGCACAAAGCACUUUGGGCCAUCAAGAAGUUUAACAUGAACCUCGAGGAAGCAGGAAGUCAAAGGAGAUUGCAAUUGAAUGAGCUUGAUGAGAUACGGCACGAGGCGUACGAUAAUGCAAGCAUUUACAAGCAAAAGACCAAAGCUUUCCAUGACAACAUGAUCCGUGGGAAAUCAUUCUCAAUUGGGCAGAAAGUGCUAUUGUUCAAUUCCCGUUUACGUUUGUUUCCCGGUAAGUUACGUUCUAAGUGGAUUGGACCGUUUGUUAUUACUAACAUAUCUUCUUAUGGUGCCAUCUAGAUUCAAAGUCUCAAAACAGGUCAUGAAUUCCAAGUGAACGGACACCGUUUGAAGCCAUAUUAUGAGAACUUUGUUGAACAAACCGUGGAUGAUAUUUCUUUGGGUGCCGUGGGCACAAAUGGAGAAUAAAUGGGCUUUUCGUCCGGCUGUACGACGUUAAAGAAAGCGCUACUUGGGAGGCAACCCAUGCAAUGCAACAAAGGAAGACCACGGAAUCACUCCAAUUCCAGAUUUGCGUUCCUAAACUCUUCCCUUUGUUAUUUAUUUCGAAUCUGCCUAUUUAGUUGUUUUAGUUGCUGUUUGGGUGUUUCUUUUUGUUUAGUGUGAUUUUAUGCUUGAAACAUUGAGGACAAUGUUUGAUUUAAGUGUGGGAGGGUAACUAAGUGUUUUAGAUGCAAAUUCGUGGGAUUUUAUCACCCUAAACUUGAAGACUUGUUCCUUGCUGUUUUUAAGUGUUUUUGAGCAGUUUUGAUGUGUUUUAGUGUGUUUUGAAGUAAAAAUCCGAAAAUUACAUAAAAAUUUGAAAAAUUUGUUUUAAAAACCCAAAAAGAGUUGUUUUUGUGUGUUUGUUUGUGUCUUAGGGUACCUUCCAACAUAAUGAUGAGGAUUCGGUUUGUAAUUACAUGACUGUUAAAGAGAGUGAUUAACAUGGAUGAAAGUUUGAUUUACUCUUUGUUAUGCUUAGUUGUGGAUAUAACUUAUGAAUUCACAUGCAAUCAUAAAAGAAAAAAAUCAGUUUUUGUAACAUGCUUGAAGGAAGGAACUCAAACUAACGCUACAACCUUAUGAGACUUGAGCCUAAAUGUUUAUUUGGAGAGUUAAAAUCUGUGCAUUCUUUGUUUUCUAAGUCGUUGCAUGAUCUCAUUAUUCCUUGCUUGGUUGCUACUUAGAAGGCGUUUCAUCAUUUAGUUCCAAAUGCUAGAACUCAUGCCCAUUUCAUUCAAAGCAUGUUAUUGAUUUGCAUAACACAUAUUCAAGAUGAAGUUGUGUAGUGACCACCACCUUAGCCAAAAAGCCAUGAAUCCCCUAUGUCAUUAUGUUUUGUAGGUUUUAACCCCGUUGAGCCUUGUUUAGCCUAUGUUGUUGUUAACCCACAUUAUCCUCACCUAGCCUAGUUUAGGACCAUCCAUACCCUUGUUCUUAAAGCAUAGUAAAGCAUGAUUCGAAUUGAAUUCCUUUUGAUCUAUGUUGGCAGAAACCAAGUGUGGGGGAAGUAUUUUUCAUGAGGAAUUGUGUGCCAUAGGCACGUGUGGAAAGAAAAGAAAAGAAAAAAAUUCGUGGAAAAAGAAAAAUGAAGAAAAAAGUGUGAAAAGUAUGAAAAAAGAGUUGAAAAGAUGUGAAAAAGAGUUCAAAGUAUUGUUUGUUGAAGUAAGGGUCCAAAGCAAUGAAUUCGGCCCUAAAGAGUUAUCUAAAUCUUUCCCUUGUGUUUUAAAGUUAAUUUCUGCAAUCUAAGUGAAUUCUAAGCCUCAAUUUCACGACUUUGCUUACUAAUGCUUGAAGAACAUUUGUUUUCCCUAUCCUUUCUUUGUUAACCAAUACCCAAAGCCUCGUUACAACCCUUAACUUCUAUCUUGAGUGUUAUGUGUUUCAAUUUGUGGAGUUUGAAUUUGGUAUGAGCAUAUGGUGUCACUGGUUCUCGCAUCUAAGUAGUAGCAUCCCAUUCAUGAGAUCAUAUCUAAACAUGCUUCUUAACUCUAGAAAUUGCGUUCUUUGUGAUACAUAUAUGUGAGCAUUCGUUUUCAUAUCUUCAUCAAUCUUCUCACAUAUGACUAGUGUAGGGUGUGGAGUUAGAAAAUCUGAGUGAAAAUAGAGUGUAUAUCUUGUAAGGAAUUGAGGGAAUUCUCUAAGGCAUGUUACUACAUUCAAAGCAUUGUUUUGAUUGAUUACUUGUGAAUUAGUAAGUGGUGGCUUUAAUUAAGUAUGUGCUUGUGUAAAGAUGACUCAAAUCUGUGGGGAUAACAAUCUUUAACAUGUCAUGUGCAUUGGAAAUCCCUGAGGCAAACGUUGGAAGGUUUAGGUUUUGUUUUGGUUAAGUUGGUUUCGUUUUGUUUCCUUUCUUUUGUUUGUUUUGCUCGAGGACUAGCAAAAGCUAAGUGUGGGGGAAUUUGAUAGGAGCAUAUUUAUGCGCCUUAGUUAGCUAGUUCUUAUGCAUCUUUGUUAUGUUUUCUUCGUUAAAGUAGUCUUUUAAGCUACUUUCAUGUGUUUUCAGGUUUAAAGGACAUAUUACAUGAAAUGAUGCAAGUUGGAGCUUUUGGAGCAAAAUGUGAGCUUGAAUUGAAAAGGACAUGCUUGGAACACAAGGAUGGGAUGGAAUUGAAGAGUUGAAGAUUUUGAGGUUUCCUACUUGAAGUAGGAAAGCUAAGCCUAAAAGUUUCCAUUUUGGGUUGAUCUUUCCUAAAUCGGAAUUGGCAACCAAAGUUUCUAAAGUUGGAAGUUUCUAUUCUUGGAGGUUUCCAUUUUCGUGAGUUUCUAUUCUCGGCUUUGGGCUUUUGGAUGACCCAUCCUCACUUCUUGGACCUAUGCCGCACCUUAACCCUAAUCCUAGCCCAUUUAAUCAGCCACACCCUAGGGCCUAAUCAUUUAAAUUCUGCCAAGUUAAACCCUAAUCUAUCUACCCUAAGCCCAAGCCGCACCCUAGGCCUUUUCCCAUGCAAAAAUCUGAUUGUAAACCCUAAUUCCUUGUGGAUUUUCUAACCCUAGCCGCACCUAAACCCUAGCCCAUUGUCUAACCUGAUUUCUUUAGGGUUUUAGGUGCCUAUAUAUAUGUGUUUUACAUCCUUUGGCCGAACAUCACCCUCUCCAUAAUUCAGAAAAUUCGUCCAGCCACUUCCCACUCUUUGCCGCAACCAUUCUACAACUCCAGCCACCAUUCUCCACCUCCAUACACCAUUCUACACCUCCAUACACCACCCAUACCUCUUGCCGCACCACCAUAUCAUCCUAAUUCCCUUCUAAAACCAAAAUCACAUCCAAAAACACCCUAAAACCCUCUCUGCCGCAGCAAGGAGAAGAAGAAAGAGGAGCUUGAAGUCAGAAAUUCAAAGUGGAAUUCUUGGGCGUUUUAGGUGUAAUCUUUCUUAUGUCUUCGAUGUUUCAAUUCAAUAAACUUUGUUGUGUGAGUAAUGAGGAACUAAACCCCCUUAGUUGGGGGGUAAUUCGAAACCAUGUACAUGCUUGCAAUUUGAUUCGAUUACAUUCAGUUGUUAUUUCAUAAGUUGUGGAUUCAAUUCGUUCAUCUAUUUGAUUGAUAACUUAUUUGUGUAUGUUGAUUGAGAGUGCACGCUUAGUUUUCAUGCAUGAAUAUGAUGCUAGAUUAUGAGGGAGUUUCACCUAAUAGUUACAAUCUUAUAAUCACAAGUAGUGAAGAUCGCUUGAAAACGAUCGCGUUGAAUGAAUUCUUAGCAUAAGUUUCAUGCAAUUCAUAGUAACGAAUGCUUCAUCAAUGCUUAUGUUUUUCAUAGAACUUAAUGAUUCGUGCUUGUAUCUCUAUUAUGCAAUUCAUGUAGGGAACUUGUAGGGAAUGUUUUGGGUUGUCGUAUGCAAUCAUUCAACUUGAUAAAUUCUGGAAAAACUGAGGGUUAAUUAGUGCAAUUCACGGUUAAUUCGGGGCAUUGAGUCUUUAUAAUUUAUUGGAAGAACAACUGAAAAUCGUUUUGUUUGCAAGUGUGACAUGUGUGGAGAAGAACCUCCUAACUAGCCUUUUAUCCAUCUAGUUCACCAAAAUCGUUUUUACAAUCUGUGCUAGUUAAAGUUUCGUCCAAAACAAAUCCCCCUUUAAUUUGAAGUCUUAGAAUAGUUAGAAAGUGUUUUGAUUUGUGUUUCUAAGUAUUUUGAUUCAAGUUUUCAUCAAAUUUCGUCCAAAUUAGUGUAGGUGCUCAAAACUGCCCAGAAAGUGGUUUUUAGGCAGUUUUGAGCCUUCUAGUUGCUGUUUUGAGUUUUAGGUUUGUUUAAGUGUUUUAACCUUUAGUUUUGCAUUCUUUGAGUCUAGUUUAGUGUUUUAAACUUUGUUUUAUGUUUUUAAGUCAGUUUUCAAGUGUUUAGCAAUCCCUCCUAAUCCCCGGUUUAGAACGAUCCCUACUUACAUCUUUACUACAAUUUGACAAAAAGAGGGUUUAAUUUGAGUGCUAGUUAAUAUCAUAUCAACUUACAAUCCCGGUUGGCGUGAUCAUCCGAAUUUCAAAUGGCGAGACCCCUAACAAGGCCAACAACAAGGCGGAUUUAGGCAACAACCCCCGGGGUUCUAUCAAAAGCCGUUGGCACCACCACAAGUCCAAGCACAACCUGCCCAAUGCAAUGUAGGUAAUUCAAGUGAUAAUGAUAAGAUUUUUCAAUUACUUACUACUUUGACGCAGGAAGUCCAAACUCAAAACAAAGAGAGGCAAAUCCAAGACAAGAGGGUGGACAACUUGGAGAAGCAAGUGGGACAAAUUGCCGAGUUCAUGGGGCAAUUUCGUGAGCAAGGAAGGUUGCCUAGCUCAACGGUGGUCAAUCCGAAAGGUGGAUUUGAAUCUGCAAAAGCUAUGCAUUUGCGAAGUGGAAAGCAAGUCGGAUCUGACCUCAACCCAUCCAAGCCACGUUCCAACGAGGAGGAAGAGUUGAGAAUUGAAGAGGAGGAACAAAGGCCACUCACGGCCAAGGUGGAACCAAAUGUGCCGCAAGUUCCAAGUGAUCCCAAUUCGUCCAAUUCAUCCAAUAAAGGUAAAAACGUGUCAAGUUCAGUUUCUACUAAUGAUUUCCCUGCAAAUGUCCCUUUUCCUAGUAGGUUUAAGCAAACAAAGAAAGAAGAAGCGGAAAAAGACAUUUUGGAGACGUUUCGGAAAGUUCAAGUCAAUAUCCCCCUUUUGGAUGCAAUCAAGCAAGUCCCGAGGUACGCCAAGUUCUUGAAGGAACUUUGCACCAAUAGGAGGAGGAUUUCGACCAAGGAGGUGGUCAAAGUAAGUGAAAACGUCUCAGCCAUCUUACAACGCAAGCUGCCCCCAAAAUGCAAAGAUCCGGGUAGUUUUACAAUUCCGUGUGUUAUUGGUAAUUCUAGGUUUGAAUCUGCCAUGUUACACCUAGGUGCAUCUAUAAAUGUCAUGCCAUAUUCAAUUUAUGCAUCUAUGAACCUAGGAGCGUUGAACAACGAUGGUGUAAUCAUAUAAUUAGCCGAUAGAUCUAACGCUUAUCCAAAGGGAGUUUUGGAAGAUGUGUUAGUGCAGGUUAAUCAUUUGAUCUUCCCGGCGGACUUCUACGUACUGGAGAUGGAUGAAUCGGACCAUGCCCCCUCAUUACCCAUCCUCCUUGGAAGGCCAUUCAUGAAGACUGCUAGGACGAAGAUUGACGUCUAUAAUGGCACUCUAACGAUGGAAUUUGAUGGGGAAGUUAUUAAUUUCAACUCUCUGAUUCUAUGAAGUUUCCUAAUGAAACCCAUUCAUGUUUUGCUAUUGAUGUAAUUGAUGCUUUGUCGCAGGACCAUUUGGUCAAUUUGAAGGAUGAUGCACUUGAUUUGGCCAUUGCACAAGGAAAGACGUUGAAGGACAUGGAAUCAAACCCCAAGGAAGCCCACGGAAUGCAAUUGGAGUCCAUUGCCGUGCUCCCUAGUGAAGAAGUCUUUGAGAUGGUGGCUGCCCUUGAGUCAUUGCCAUCACAAUCGGGUAAGUAUUCGGACCCUAUUUUAAGUUCAGUUUCGGCUAAUAAAAUGCUUCCCUCAGUGGUACAGCCACCUACACUUGAACUUAAGCCGUUACCUAGUCAUUUGAAGUACGUUUUCUUGGGCGAGAAUGAUCGGAUCAUAUUUAUAUAUAUUUUUACUUCAAAUUCACUCGUCUUUUCUUAGUUAGUUCCUUAUAUUUUUGAGCUAUUUACGUUAUUUUGUGUUUAUAGGAUUUGUUAUGCAAAGAAAAUAAAAAUGGCACAAAUGAGUUUUAAAUAAUAAAUUCGUCGAAAAUUGCUUUAGUUGUUCUCAUUCUGUCAUGGGUUAUUGGUAGAAUUAUGUCACGGAUUAUAGGUCUGAAUGCGGAUCUGAGAAAUUGGAUGCGUGGGUUGGGAUGCUGGUUUAUAUUAUGCAUGGAUUGGUGAAUUGGGAAGUGUGUGGCAGUGAUGAUCAUGAAUGGUGUUUCCCUCGGACUAAAACUUGUUAUGCACACCCUAGAAUCUAAGCUUAAUGUUGAGAAUUUUAUAUGCUAUAAUUUAUAUCACCAUGCACGUAGUCUCAUUUUCACUAUUUCUUCUCACAAAGGGAAACUUGAAAAGUUAAAUAAAGAUAGAGAAAGAUAGGAAGAAGGUAAUUAUUUAUUCAGCUUUACUUGCUCGAUCUUGAAAUCGUUGUCAGAGAAUCAAAGAUGUUCCCUUCUUAUAGACUGUAAGUUAUGUGGAUAAAUGACAUUUUCGAUUGGCUAGUUUUAUGUUUUCGAAGUGUGUUUAUUUUCUAAUUGGAAGCCUGAUUCAAACUUGUUAUUUACUAACUAAAUUUUGUCAGGUUGGGAUCAGAGUUUGCACUGAGGUUUUAUUAAACUUAAAGAUAUUUGGUGGAAUGCGGUAGGUGGAGAAUAAGCUGCCUUUGGCAGCAUGUGAAGUAAAAGCAGCACUAGGCCACUUGCAGCGUGGAGCGCAAAAAUAAGAAACAAAAAGAAUAGGCACUUGCAGCGUGAGUGUGGUGGGUGAGGCAUUAGCCUCGGGAGAGGGCAGCCUUGAAAAACGGAAAGAAGAAUAAGGAACCAGGGGAACGCUGCCCCUUGGCAGCGAGAGAGAGGAACCAAGGAAAAGAAAACAGAAAACAAGCAGAAAAGCUGCCUUGAGCAGCUUGUUUUUCUGUGCGUGGCUGCACUUGGCAACACUAGAGGCGGAAAGGGUAGAGCAGUGCGCAGGAGGAGAGAAGCACAGAAAACUGUGCAGAAACCAGGAGGUCAGAGAGGGAUUGACAGAGGCAGCGUGAAGCCUCGGCAGCAAUAGCACAGAAGCAGAAGCUUCACUCAAUCUUUCGGUUAAAUCUUUCCAAAUUUAUAUUUCAUUUCUAUUUUAAUAAUGUGUAAAUAAACUUAUUUUGGCUAGAGGUUAAUUCAAAGCCAUGAAUAUAUUUGUAAUAUGAAUUGAUUACCUUCAGUUGUGAUUUCUGAGUUGUGAUUUAAUUUGCUUAACUGCUUGAUUGAUAACUUAUUUUUGUAUGUCGAUUAAGAAUGCAUACUUAAUUUACAUGCAUGAAUUUGAUGCUAGAAUAUAAGUAAAUUUCACCUAAUCGUUAUGAACUUAUAUUCACAAGUAGUGAAGGUUGCUAGUCACAAUCACGUUAAGUAAAUUCUUGGCAUAAGUUUCAUGCAAAUCAUAGUAACGAGUGCCUCGUCAAUGCUUAUGUUUUUCAUAGAACUUAAUGAUUCUUGCUUGUAUCUCUAUUAUGCAAUUCAUGUAGGGAACUUGUAGGGAAUGUUUUGGGUUGUCGUAUGCAAUCAUCCAACCCAAUAACUUGUGGAAAAACUGAGGGUUAAUUAGUGCAAUUCACGGUUAAUUUGGGGCGUUGAGAUUUACAAUUUAUUGAAAGAACAACUGAAAAUCAAUUUAGGUUGCAUAUGUGUCAUGUGUGGAGAAGAACCCUCUAGCUAGUCCGUCACCUAUCCUUUCACCUUAAUUCAUGCUUUUGUCAAUUCUGUAAUUUAUUUAAGUUUAAUUUACUUCUCGUCAAAACCAAAACCCCCAUUAUUAAAUUAUAUUAUUUAGUUAGUUUUCAUUGUUGUUAGUCUUUUAAUUCAAUUUCCGUCCAUUGCAGUUCCUAGUGUCUAAUUUGAUUGUUUUCAUUAUUUUGAGUCAUCCUAAGUGUGUUUCGAGUUAUUAGAGUUUUUAGCCUAGUUUUGUGUCCUUGAGUCUUGUUUAAUAUUUUUAAAUUAUUUUAGAAUAGAUUACCAAUCCCUCCUAAUCCCCAGCCUAGAACGAUACCCUACUUACAUCUAUACUACAAUUGUCAAAAAGAGGGUUUAAUUUGUGUGUCAAGUAAUUUUCGCAUCAGAGAAUGACACGUUGCCCGUCAUUAUUUCAUCCUCACUCACGGCACAAGAAGAGAGCAAAUUGGUGCGAGUCCUUAAGGAGUACAAAACGGCAAUUGGAUGGACAUUGGCCGACAUCAAGGGAAUUAGCCCUACUACAUGCAUGCAUCGCAUACUUCUAGAGGAGGGGUCCAAAACAUCCCGAGAGGCUCAACGCCGUCUCAACCCUCCGAUGAUGGAAGUUGUGAAGAAGGAGGUAAUCAAGCUGUUAGAUUGUGGCGUAAUCUAUCCAAUCUCGGAUAGCAAGUGGGUCUCACCCGUUCAAGGCGUUCCGAAGAAAUCUGGAGUGACUGUGGUUGCAAAUGCCGAGAAUGAACUUGUUCCUCAACGCAUUCAAACCGGUUGGAGGGUGUGCAUCGAUUAUAGGAAGCUAAACGCCGCAACAAGGAAGGAUCACUUCCCAUUGCCGUUCAUCGACCAAAUGCUUGAGAGAUUAGCCGGGUAUGCUUUCUAUUGUUUUCUUGAUGGUUAUUCUGGUUAUAAUCAAAUUGUCAUAACACCCGAAGAUCAAGAAAAAACCACUUUUACAUGCCCCUUCGGUACUUUUGCAUAUCGUCGCAUGCCUUUUGGUUUAUAUAAUGCACCGGCUACAUUUCAAAGAUGUAUGAUGAGCAUAUUUUUGAUAGGAGCAUAUUUAUGCGCCUUAAUUAGCUAGUUCUUAUGCAUUUCCAUGGUGUUUUCUUAGUUAAAGUAGUCUUUUAAGCUAGUUUUAUGUGUUUUCAGGUUUUAAGGCCAAAGGAUGCAAGAAGAUGGAUUUUGGAGCUUUUUGGAGCAAAAUUGGGCUUGGAAUGAUUAUCACAUAAUUGGAGCCAAGGUUUGGACGAAUUUGAAGAUUUGAAGAUGAUGAUUCCUACUUGAACAAGGUUUCCUAGUUGAAGUAGGAAAGUGCUUACAUGAAGGAGGAUUCCUAAUCGACGAAGGAUUCCUAAUCAACGAAGGAUUCCUAAUCAACGAAGGAUUCCUAAUUGAAGAUGGAUUCCUAAUCACAUGAGGAUUCCUAGAAGAACAAGGAUUCCUACUUGAAGUAGGAAAGUUAAGCCAAGGUUUCCUACUUUGGUUUGAUUUUUCCUAAUUGUCCCUAAAAGUUUCAGCAAUUAUGAAGACUUUCUAAGCAUUCUAGGACACAAAACAACAGCCUAGAACCUGAUAGGAGCAUAUUUAUGCGACUUUGUUAUCUUGUUUUCUUGCAUUUACGUUGUUAGUUAUUGUUUAUUAUAGUGAUUUAAGCUAGUUUCGUGUGUUUGUAGGUUCAUAUGGCAAUUGAAGCAAGAAAGUGCAUUUUGGUGCAUUUUAGAGCAAAAAUGAGCUUAAAUGGAAUGUAUGCUUAUGGAGCAUAGGGAAUGGACAAGUUUGAAGGUCAAAGGAGUUUAAGAAAUGAAGAAAUGAAAGUGAAGAACAAAGAAGUCGGAAUUGGCAACUAAAGUUUCUAAAGUUGGAAGUUUCUAUUCUUGGAGGUUUCCAUUUUCGAGAGUUUCUAUUCUUGGCUUUGGGCUUUUGGAUGACCCAUCUUUGCCUCUUGGACCUAUGCCGCACCUAACCCUAACCCUAGCCCACUUAAUCAGCCGCACCUAGGCCUUGUUCACAUGAAAAAAAAUCUGAUUACUUACCCUAAGCCCAUGCCGCACCUAAUGUUCUAGAAACCCUAGUUUUUGGUGGAUUUCCUAACCCUAGCCGCACCCUAAACCCUAGCCCAUUACUUGUGCUGAUUUCUCUAGGGUUUUGUGGUGCCUAUAAAUACAUAUUUUAGGGUUGAAUCACCUGAAUUUCGUCCAUACUUCCAGCCACACCAUUCUACACAUCCAAAAACCCCAAAAACACAAUUCUAGCCAUUUUUCUUCCUUGCCGCAAGCCAUCUACCACCAUUCUUCCAUAUUUUCUAACCUUCCCCCAUCCUUUUGCCGCAACACAUCCAUUCCACCAAAGAGAGGAGCUUUGCCGUGACCUUUGGAGAGGAGGAAGGCUUUGCCGCAUGCAAUCUUCAACCAUUGGAGUUUCUAGAGUUCUUUCUUCCCUUGUUUCUGUUUUCAUGUUUAAUUUAACUUGCUGUUCAAUUAUGUUAGACAUGUGGAACUAAUUUCUUUUUAGUUAGAGGUGAAUUUGAAGCCAUGGACAUAUGUUUCUAUGAUUUGAUUUCUUCCAAUUAUGAUUUCAGAAAUUGUGAAUGAGAUUUACUUAUCUAUUUGAUUGAUAACUUGUUUAUGUAUGUGGGUUGAGGGUCGACACUUAAUUUGCAUGCUUAA